rnacentral:misc_RNA from 1 species
AAGCGAAAGACAAAUGUGACUAAUACCCAGGUCAGACAUUCGCGCCUCAUCGAUGCAUGUCCGGUAUGAAAGAGUUACAUUUGUUCGAGCAAGUCGCCCGACCUGGAUGGAUACACAACAGCUUCCACUGAAAACAGACAAAUAGUUCUUCCAUAUAUAUCAGUGAUGAUCAAUUACUAAAGGGCGAUAAUUUAAAAGUUUAUUCAACAAAGUUUGUUACGUUUGUAACGAGGUGGCGCUGUAGUCCGUACAAAAGCACCAAUCAGAUAUUUAAAUGUUGUUGAGGCGUCAUAUUUGAAUGUUUUCCAGUUUAUCAUGAUUUAUUAAAUGAUUCUCGAUACACAUUAGCUAGAAAGUAAAUCUCAGAACAAGCCACUGAAUAUGACGAAUAACACAGGGGUAAAAGUAGUUGUUCGUGUUCGACCAUUAUCUUCAAAAGAAAAUGAGGGUUCAACUAGGACUGUGGUCGAGGCCAUAAAUGACCAUAUCCUGGUAUUUGAUCCUGCCGAUGAUAGAUGUGAAAUAAAUGGUAUGUCAACUUCGAAAUUUGUGCGAGGAGAUAUUACAAGACGACGGAACAAAAACUUAACUUUUGCAUUUGAUCAUGUGUUUGGUCCAGAGAGUUCGAAUGUCGAAAUAUAUGAACACACAAGUAAAGUAAUACUUGAUGGAUUACUUAAUGGUUACAAUUGUUCAGUAUUUGCUUAUGGUGCUACUGGUGCUGGGAAAACAUAUACCAUGCUCGGUACCAAUGACUUUCCUGGAAUCACAUUCCUCACUCUUAUGGACCUUUAUCAGAGAAUAGAGGCAAUUAAAACUGAAAAAAGCUGUGAUGUUGCCGUUUCUUAUUUAGAGAUCUAUAAUGAGCAAAUUAAAGACUUGUUGAAUUCAAAAUCUCAGUUACCAAUCCGAGAGGAUCCCAAAGCUGGUAUUAUAAUACCGGGUCUUACAUUACACAAACCUCAAGAUGAGCAGGAUUUGUUGAAAAUGUUAUAUUUUGGAAAUCAGAACCGUUCACAACACCCAACAGAUGCUAAUGCAGAAUCGUCUCGAUCUCAUGCUGUUUUUCAGGUGUUUGUAAAGCAGUCUGAUAGAACAGCUAAUUUAGUAAAAUCAGUCCAUAUUGCCAAAAUGUGCUUGGUUGACCUGGCUGGUUCUGAGCGUGGUACUGCAACAAGUAACAGGGGUCCCAGAAUGCGAGAAGGAGCCAAUAUCAAUCGGUCUUUACUAGCAUUGGGGAAUGUUAUUAAUGCACUGGCUGAUGAAAAGACUAAAGGUUAUAUUCCAUAUCGGGACAGUAAGCUGACACGUUUACUUAAAGACUCUAUUGGUGGCAACUGCAGGACAGUUAUGAUAGCUGCUGUAAGUCCAUCACAUUUAUCAUACGAAGAUACAUACAACACUUUGAAGUAUGCUGACAGAGCAAAACAUAUUCGAGUUAAUUUGAAGAAGAAUAUUAUGAAUGUGAAGUCUAACAUCAGCAAGUAUGGAAAAAUUGUUGAAGGUCUUCGAGAAGAGGUUCAGCAGCUUAAAACUAAAUUAAAGGAAUACGAAAGUGUAGAUUUGAAAGCAAGCAUACCCAAACUGCAAGAAUGUGAAGAAGAAAAAAGAUUACAAGAAAUCCUUUAUAAUUUAUUCACUGAAAGGAAGUCUAUUCGCAAAGAGAUCCUCAAGCAAGAAAGUGACCGACGUGCCAACCGCUGGAAAAUACACUGCAAACAGCAUCUUUUGACACAAAUGGAAGCUGAGGACCAGGGUGAAACUGAUGAACAUCUGUUAAAAAAAACUAAGAAAGCUAUUGAUUUAUCCAACAAAAGAAUAAAAAGCAUCGAUACUAAUAUUGCUAAUUUGAAAGAGAAAUUUGUCGAAAAUGAAAAACACUUGGAGCGACUUCAGGGAGAGAUGACACUGAAUGGAGAGAAGAAGAUAACAGCGCUCCUUGAGGAGAAACUACGAUCUCACCAUCUGGAAGUAGAACUGGGAGAUUCUCUCACUUACAUCAAUCACGUAAAGAAAAUUGCCAACUUUCAAGAGGUAGAGAAUAACUCGAAAGACAGGUUGAUAAACAGCAUGCAGCAAACAAUGACAAAAUUGUAUAAAACAGUUCAGCAACAUCAACUGCUUUCCUCAGAACUUCAAGUGGAUUAUAAUCAAACCAUGAGGCAAAGGUAUGGAGAAAAAGAAGUAGUGUGGGUUGAUGAGACUAUACUAAAAGAAGCUGACAAAAACCCAGAUUCAAUUUCACUUGAAGGUACUCUAGACCUUCCGACUCUCAGCCGAGUUGUUUUGUCACCCACCUUGGAUAAAAAUAUUAGACAAAGGAGGGAGUCUUUAACUCCUAUUUUGAAAAAAACAAAAUGCUUUCUUAAUUCGAAAUGUAACACUCCUAUGAGUCAAAUUGAUCAAACUCCUAAAAUGCAAAGGAGAGAAGAUUACACUUCAAGGAAUUCUACCAUUACAAGUUCUACAAGAAAGCUGAAUAAUUCAACAGUAUCAGCAGUGGACCAGUCUUUAAAACGGCCAAGAUCUGAAGAGAGUAAAUCAGCACCAAAGACCUCUGAAAGAUUGGUGCUUGUUAGUAAUUCUGAUGGACUCAAAAGUCCCAGUGUGGAAAAUCAAAUCUCUGUAGUAAGUUCUAGUAUGAAAGAAAAUGAUCCAAGAAAAGAUACUGUUAGUGACGACGUGACAGCCCUUAAUAAUACAAUUUCAGAAGAAUCCGAAGUAGAAAACAUCAUCAAAGAUGUUUCAGAACCUAAGAAAUGGUGCUCAAUCGAUACUAUGAAAAGUCUUUCUGCGACAAUAAUAGCUACUACCCCCAAUAGAAGUCUGGCCAGUAUUGCCAGCAAAACACCAAGUCCUUUAGCACAACUGUUAUCUCCAGCUAUUCGACCUUCAACUAGAGAGGCCAGCCACUUAAAUUUAGCUGGCGGAGCCACAAUAACCAAAUCAAAACCAACUUUUCCUUUGAAAAUGUUAAAUAUAAACAAGCCAAAAGGUAUGAUUGUUAGCGCUAUGACAGCGUCAGCAAAGGAAAAUAUCAAGGAUUUGCAUCGCUAUAAAACAUCAUCAAUGUUUGAAAGAAGUACAGUAUUUGCAGCUAAGAAACUCCAAAGGAGUGAUUCCCAGAAACUGAAAUCUCUACACAAAUUUCCGAUGCGUUUAGGACCACAGGGCAUUAAAGAAUCACAGAUUACAUUAUCUUCAAGUAAAAAGCCCACCUCUUCCUCUUCAAAAUUCAUUGGGAAGCAAAGGUCAUUAUUUCGAAGCAAAUCUGUCAGUGAUCUGCGUAAUUGACCUAAAUGUGGACAUCAUAGGACAAAUCUGAUUUGCAACCUUGCCUCCUGGUUACAAUUUUUCAAGCUUUUUACUCAACACAAAUUAAUAUUUUCGUGAUUUGGUGUUUUAUCUCCUCAAAAGUUCUCUACGCAUUUCACCAAUUCUUUUUAAAUGAUAAAGACAAUGUUUGUCUUAAGAUAAGCUGAAGAAUUUCGCAAAAAUCUCAAUAGAGAUUAGAGGACCAUGAGCAGAGUAUAUCAAAACAAGUAAAGAUUUUAACAUUAUAGUCCCCAAUAUCUUAAAGAUGUCAGAUCAUAGUUUACUCUCUUAGCUCUUGAUCUGUGUGCAUGUGGGUAUGUAUAUAUGUACAUAUGGAAUCAUAGAAUAAAAGACUGUCCUUUCUGUGAAAGGGCUUAUAUCUUGCUCUAAUGGAAACUUUUGUAACUAAACAAACCUUCUGUUUUGGAAUACACGCAUACAGACACACAUACACACAUGUGGAUAAUACAUACAUAUAUAUAUGUAUGUAUGUAUAUAUGUGUAUGUAUCCUAUUUAUAAUAUUUCAGGACUAUGUUGUGAGGUCAUUAUUGUUUUAAUGAAAAUGAUAUAAAAAAAGAAAUCUCAUGGGCCAAAUGUACAGACAUAUAGCUGAUUCCAUGAAAAGGAAUUUUGGAACCCAUGAUCUCAGAUUUUCAUCAAAUUUUGACCAGUUCUUUCUAUCGGUAAGAACAGAAAAAGUGCAAAAUUUCAGACUCAAUCUCCCAAAGGUAUGCCGAUUUGAAAUUUGACUCAAAUCAUUCACUUUUAGGCCUUGAAUUUGAAAGCCACAAUAAAUGAUGUAAUUACUCUCAAUCCACAUGGACUAUUUUUCUGAAAAUUUGUGAAUUUCUGUGCUGAAUCUGAAUUUAAAGAGAAAAGAGUGUAUUUCUCAUGGCAAAGUGCUUGUUUUCUUGAAUCAAAAUGAAAACACUUCGUUUUUUUUUCUUGAUACUGCUGUGUGCUGAAAGUGAAAUUCCCCGAAGUGCCCAAAUCCUACAUCUUCAAAACAGUUUGCUCAUAAACUGAACAUAAUGUUUUACUUGUGUGCAUCCAACAUUGAAGGCAAGUCACAGUUCAAGAGGUAAUAAUGCGACAAAUAUCAUUUUCAGACUUAAUAUUGCUUACAUAUAACAUUUCUGAGUCAUAUUAAUCCUGUUGUGAUUGAGGGACUUUGUACCCUCCUGUCCACACCAAAUUUUCACAGGUUCCAGGAAUGUUUAUACCAUGACAAAACUCUACACACAUUGUCAUGCUCUUUUCCACUCUCACAAAAUCUUUUUUCCUGGGCAUUUUUCAGGAAAAUUCAUCAUCACAAAAGAAAGUUGUAGUUGCAUCAAGAAUCUCUUGAUUGAGCCUCUGUCGUGGAGCAAUAUCAGGACAUCCAGUGAUGCCUUUAUCAUCAUGCAGCAACCUGGCUUUUUGAAUGGUACUUUUUGACACAGAAUUCUUUUGCAGCUUUUCUAAUAGACCAAGAAUUUGGAACCAAAGUCAAGAUCUGAAUUUCUUGCCUUUGCCCAAUGCUUUUAAUUUUUUCCUUCAUACACUGCACCAAGUAAUCUAGAUCAUUUGCUUUUGACUGUGUCUCUUUGCCAAUGUUCACUAGAUUUUCUUCUUGAAGAUCAGAAUCAUUGACUUUUAGCACACAAACAAGUUUUUUUGCGACUGCUUUCUCAACUUGCUUCAAUGUUUUCAAAUGAUAGUCUUUGCCAUGCAAUACACUCACAGUGCAUGAUGUUUUUAUUUUGGACCUUCUUAUCAGGAAUUUUGUAAAAGAAAUAUUUUGGU